rnacentral:rRNA from 1 species
UACGGAGGGUGCAAGCGUUAAUCGGAAUUACUGGGCGUAAAGCGCACGUAGGUGGUUUGUUAAGUCAGCUGUGAAAUCCCCGGGCUCAACCUGGGCACUGCAGUUGAAACUGGCAAGCUAGAGUAGGGUAGAGGGGUGUGGAAUUCCAGGUGUAGCGGUGAAAUGCGUAGAUAUCGGGAGGAACACCAGUGGCGAAGGCGGCUUCCUGGACCAGUACUGACGCUGAGGCGCGAAAGCUAGGGGAGCAAACAGG